rnacentral:rRNA from 1 species
CGGGUGAGUAACACGUGGAUAACCUACCUAUAAGACUGGGAUAACUUCGGGAAACCGGAGCUAAUACCGGAUAAUAUAUUGAACCGCAUGGUUCAAUAGUGAAAGACGGUUUGCUGUCACUUAUAGAUGGAUCCGCGCCGCAUUAGCUAGUUGGUAAGGUAACGGCUUACCAAGGCAACGAUGCGUAGCCGACCUGAGAGGGUGAUCGGCCACACUGGAGCUGAGACACGGUCCAG